AACGCACAUUGCGCCCUCUGGUAUUCCGGAGGGCAUGCCUGUCCGAGCGUCAUUUCAACCCUCCAGCCCGGCUGGUGUUUGGGUCGCGCCCUCCGGGGCGGGCCUCAAAGACAGGGACGACGCCGCGUCCGGACCCCCGAGCGUAUGGGACUUCUGUCACCGCUCGUCAGGGCCGGCCGGCGCGGGCCACCCCUCCAUCUAUUUUCUCAGGUGGACCUCGGAUCAGGUAGGGAUACCCGCUGAACUUAA
rnacentral:misc_RNA from 1 species